AGUAUCAACUAUGGAUAAAAAUUACAAGUAGUUGUUAUAUAAGGUCAAAUUUAUGAUCUUACGAGUUCUGAGGGAGUCUUUGUAGCAGAUAUAUGGUAUUUAAUACUCAUUCAGAAAGAUAAAUUGAUGUUGAAUAAGUUGAUUGAGAUCAAAGAACUGGCCAAACGUUUAUAUUUGUUGGUUUAACCAAAUGGACGAGACGACUUGGUCAAUAACUUAAAUAGAUCGAUAGAUGCCACUAGGACUUGGCAUUCGGGUACCCAUU
rnacentral:lncRNA from 1 species